GAUGAACGCUGGCGGCGUGCCUAAUACAUGCAAGUCGAGCGAACGGACGAGAAGCUUGCUUCUCUGAUGUUAGCGGCGGACGGGUGAGUAACACGUGGAUAACCUACCUAUAAGACUGGGAUAACUUCGGGAAACCGUAGCCAAUACCGGAUAAUAUUUUGAACCGCAUGGUUCAAAAGUGAAAGACGGUCUUGCUGUCACUUAUAGAUGGAUCCGCGCUGCAUUAGCUAGUUGGUAAGGUAACGGCUUACCAAGGCAACGAUGCAUAGCCGACCUGAGAGGGUGAUCGGCCACACUGGAACUGAGACACGGUCCAGACUCCUACGGGAGGCAGCAGUAGGGAAUCUUCCGCAAUGGGCGAAAGCCUGACGGAGCAACGCCGCGUGAGUGAUGAAGAUCUUCGGAUCGUAAAACUCUGUUAUUAGGGAAGAACAUAUGUGUAAGUAACUGUGCACAUCUUGACGGUACCUAAUCAGAAAGCCACGGCUAACUACGUG
rnacentral:rRNA from 1 species